CUGGUUGUCAAAUAAUUUUCUAAGGGUUUCUUUCAGUCUAAUCUUAAUGAUCAUUAAUACAACACUUCUAAUGCAAAAGCGAUUUGCACAAAAGAGGGGAGGAAAUGGAAAAACGCAUAUUUUUACCGAUGACAUUUUGGUUUUCUUUACCAUGGAUAGCUUAUACUUACGAAAACAUUGCUUUACGCAAAUUAGCUAUGCAGCAACAUCCGUUCGUGCCUCGCGAUCCCUCAUACCGUAUUUUCGAUUUUUCCGCCUCUAAUGCUGUGGAUGGACUGAAGACAGAUUGUUCUGCCUAUGGAGGUCAAUGCACACUGUCAGGGGUCAAUAAACGUACAGCACUUUGGAUGGUUGACCUUGGGUCCAUUCUGAGCAUCCAUCAUAUUACCAUUUACUAUAGAACCGACAACAUUACCUGGGGUCCUAGCAAUGGUUUUGUCCAUAGAUUCCUUGGGUUCUCUGUAUUCAUAAUGAACACCACAGAGGGCAAAGAUUUGGUAUCAUGUUUCCAUGACACGACGUUUAAUGACACGACUAUACCGGCAGUGUUAACUUUAAAUUGUACCACCCAGGGGAGGUACGUCAUCUACUACAACAACAGGACAGCUACUAAUUUGCCAUCCUUCUACUCAGAAUAUGCGUUCACCGAACUGUGUGAAUUUGAAGUAUAUGGCUGUUCCAAUCCCGGAUACUACAGCGAGAACUGUUCCAUGCCGUGUCCACCCCACUGUGUAAACAGUCGGUGUCAUAUAGAGACUGGUCAUUGCUUUGAAUGUGAAGAUGGAUAUCGGGGACCAAUGUGUGAACAACUUUGUCAAAACAACACAUUUGGAGGUGGUUGUUCAGAGAGUUGUGGCCAAUGUCUUAGUGGACUCCAAUGUCACCACGUUACUGGAUCUUGUUACCUUGGAUGUGCACCAGGGUACUAUGGAAGUCAAUGUAAAACGGCAUGCCCAAGUGGGAACAACAGAUCCAAUGGCAACUGUAUACAGGAUUCAUCUCAGGAAAAUAAAGAAAUCGGAAGAAAUAAUCAAACCGGAAAUAUGAUUAUCUAUGUUGCUAUUGGUGGAUCGGUAGGAGUCGUGUCUGUUGUAAUUGCAGUAACUGUCAUAGUGUACAAACUAAGACGCAGUGGCAAGAAGGAUCAUCUGUCGAACACACAGGCAUCAGAUAAACAACCGAACAACGAGGACGUUUCCCUUCAAUACGACGAUAACAUUCAGGACUCCAAGUGUCAUGGAGAGUCAUCUUCACAGAAGUCGGAAUAUUACUGCGAACUGGCGGAAACUGAAUACAAUGAUACUGCAACUGGAAGAGCCUAUGAAAAUAUCUGAUUCGAUUAUGUCAAUGAACUGUGUCACAAUUAUGUUCCAACCAUACUCCCAUACUUUUGGUUGAGUUCUAGUAUCUAAACUUUGUUUGAAAUGUAUUUCCAUACUUUUGAGUUAUUUAUAUAUUUUUGCUUGCAUGAGUGGUCACUGGGUGUAGUAAUACUACUGGAGAAAACCUGUUUAACAGGUAUUAUUUAUUUUUAAAUAAACUUGCUAAGUGGUUUGAAGAGUGAGGUUAGAUGUAUUCUGGGCGACACGCUGUGUGGACGUGUCUGUACUCUUGGUGAGAUAUCUUGGGCGUUUCCCAUGCUGUGUGAUCUUGGGAACGGCAUCCCUGUGUGGGCUUAUUUGUGUGAGAGAGAUACAACCCAGUGACCACGGAGUGGGCACGUGCACGUGGUGGACCAUGUUAUAUCCGUGGAAGGACUUAUGGUGGGACAAAUAAUAUCCAAACCAAAAACUUAUGCUUUUCCAGUCCUCCGGAACUUACCUUAUGUGAGACGUCUUGUCGAAUGCCAUCUAGUUCAUCCGAUAGAACUGAUGUCAACAACCUCCUAAUUAUUGUAUAUUUGUAAAUAAAUUGUGUUUGUUUUGUAAAUUUUGUUUUGUUUGACUUACAAGGACCAUCCUUUUACCAGAUUGGUGAAAUGUGUUAAGAACCUAGUAUACAAUUUGAAUGCAAUUGUGACAUUUUGGUGGCAGCGGUGGGAUGGUCUUUGUUUAGUCAUUUUUUUGUGGUACUAUUUGUGUGAACUACUCGCAUAUUUUUCCAUUGUAAUAUGUUUUAGUACCUGUGCUUACUUUUGAGUUUUUUUUUCUAAUGUAGCAAUUUUUUUUUGAAAAACUCAAACAUUUUUACAUUGUAUGUCUACAUUUUUUCGCACGUUGAGCGGUUUGUUGCUCAAUUUUUUUCUUUUUGAACAUGGAAUUCAUUGAGUUGGGUACUAGAUUAGGAUUGAAAGAUGAAGAUUUGAAAGAGAUUGAGCUAGAAACGAUAAAGAGAUAAACAGAGUUACAGAUACAGAAAAACUCAGAGAUAGCUGCUGCAAGUGCUUCUGCAUAAGUCAGGCUAAACUUCCCAAACUACCAGUUUUUGAAGAAACUAAUGACUGUAUUGACUCCUAUUUACAGAGAUUCGAGAGAUUUGCAUUCAACGCAAAAUGGGAAGAGUCCAUCUGGGCCAUCAAUCUCAGUGCAUUGUUAAAAGGUAAAGCUCUGGACGUUUAUUCUAGAUUACCUGCAGGUGAAGCUCUCAAUUACGGAUGUCUGAAGCAGGCGCUACUAAAGCGAUGCCAACUGACAGAGGAAGGAUUUCACUCAAAGUUCCGUAAUUCUAAACCAGAACAAGAGGUCAUCAAAGGAUCAGAGAACAUUGGAGCAUAUUUCCUGAGUCGGCAUGUUGCAGAAUAGAUUAGUUUUAAGUGCAUGAACUGUUCAACUUACGGCACAUUUCAUUUACGAUAAAAUGUUACAAAAUUGUAUUUUGUUCUUAGGAAAGGAGGUAUUGUCACAAUUAUGUUCCAACCAUACUCCCAUACUUUUGGUUGAGUUCUAGUAUCUAAAUUUUGUUUGAAAUGUAUUUCCAUACUUUUGAGUUAUUUAUAUAUUUUUGCUUGCAUGAGUGGUCACUGGGUGUAGUAAUACUACUGGAGAAAACCUGUUUAACAGGUAUUAUUUAUUUUUAAAUAAACUUGCUAAGUGGUUUGAAGAGUGAGGUUAGAUGUAUUCUGGGCGACACGCUGUGUGGACGUGUCUGUACUCUUGGUGAGAUAUCUUGGGCGUUUCCCAUGCUGUGUG